UACGAAGGGGGCUAGCGUUGUUCGGAAUUACUGGGCGUAAAGGGCGCGUAGGCGGACGCGCAAGUCAGGGGUGAAAUCCCGGGGCUCAACCUCGGAAUUGCCUUUGAGACUGCGUAUCUUGAGGGCGGGAGAGGGUCGUGGAAUUCCCAGUGUAGAGGUGAAAUUCGUAGAUAUUGGGAAGAACACCGGUGGCGAAGGCGGCGACCUGGACCGUAUCUGACGCUGAGGCGCGAAAGCGUGGGGAGCAAACAGG
rnacentral:rRNA from 1 species